UAUAAGUGGAAGCUCUUGUUUUCAGGUCGACCAGUGUCAUGCCAGGGAAAUUCUGUCCUCUGGGAGGAGAGCCACAAUGACCAGGCCACUGCAAAGUCUCACAAACGCCAAGACUCCUCAAGAUGAAAGUCACCUCCAGAACCUUGGGACAAUCGUUGGAUCGGGUUCAACUGGCCAGGAAACCAAAGCCCACAGAAAAAUGCCUCAUGACUCCUGCCAACCUCCUGCUCCCUCGGGUCCCAGCGCCGGACAAAGAGCCCUGCCAGUGUUUGGAUGUGUGAGAGGAAGGACGUUCUGGAGCUAGAAGCCACAGAAUGGGAGUCGUGUACUUUCUGGGGCUGCCUCAGCCGGCCCGGCUGCUGCUCCAUUCUGUGGCUCAUGAAAGGGUUCUCACCUCCUGGGCUGGAAGGGAGUGGGUCUGUCUGCUACCCAGGCGGUUGCCUCUGUGGCUUUCUGAAAAAGAAUGCGUGUGCCUGUCAAAACAGAACUUUCCUGUGGACUUGGAAGAGUGGGCCUGUCUGCCUGCCAGGAAGGAGCGCGUUUCAGUCUGGAUUAAAAGGGAGAAAAAUUCCACUGUGCAGGCCCAUCAGCCACGGCUCAGAGCAGCCUUCUUCCCUCACAAAGACAGCCGGCUUCCCCAGCAGUUGCCCACCAACUCUGUCUGCCUUGGUCUGGAAGCUGGGGGAGGUGCGGGGGGAGGUGCUGAUGAAGCCAUGAGGGGCUGCUGUUAUCCCCAUGAUAGUGGAAAAACUGACACAUGAAGAGGACUUGCCCCAGGACCUGGAGAAGGGCCCUGGAAGCCUGCUCGUGGAUUCAUCAGCGGAUUGUGACAACGUGGCCCUGCUCCAGAAGUUUUCUCUGGAUUCAACCUCCCAAGGCAGCCACUGGAGCCAAGUCCAGGGCCCAAAUCAGGUGUGACUCCAGGAGCACAGUAAACACACCAGUUUCUUCUGCAAAGAUGAUCUAACUUGGGAGUGGUUGAUAAAUAUUCCCUUCCAGUGCUUGAUAACCCAGGUCCCUUGGGGGCUCCAGAUACCCAAGGGACUCUUCAUAAAACUCAAAAUACAUCCAGAAGAGGGACCCCGUCUCCUCUAUGAAUAGAUCAUGUUUCCAGAAGGCAGGUCUGCACAUAAGCUAUUUGUGACUACAUGUAGAUGCUAAGCCCCUGAUUGUGAGAUUUGCAUCCAUUUAAUUUGAGUGGUUGGGUGAACUUUCCCUAACAAGUGAGACAGUUCCCAGGUAGAAGGAAGGAAGGCCAGCAGAAUCUGGGCUGAUCUUACAAGUGCCUUGUUCUUUGCCCUUGCAGAAGCAUUAGGCUUUGAGAUACCAGAGCCCUCGAAUAUCUGCCUGAAUUUCUGGAGACACCAACAGAAAGUCUUGGCAAGAUAGAGGACAUUUUUGGAUCUAGCUCCCAAAACUACAGCCGUAAGUUCCAGAACAAUAAUUAAGCAUUAUUGCAGCUAGGAAUUGCGGUUAAUCAAUUUAUACAAACCUGUUUAGAUGUAGCUGGGAAUUUUUAACUAAAGUAUGCAGGCUUACACAUUGUUUACUGGUAUCAGUAACUUACAUGUGUGAAUGUGAUUGCUUUGUUUAUAAGUACAUACCUGACCCCCUACAGCUCUGAGGACAAGUAUAUAACACAAGCCAUGUACUAUUUUCAUUUCAAGCAGAACUUUGUCAUUGUUCCAGCGGUUAAAAAUCAACAGCACAGUAUAAUGAUAAAUAUGGACAUUAAGUGAAACGUAAGGACUGGUCUCCUGUGUUACUAUACCUGCUGAUCUCAAGGUGGUUCUGCUGCUGGGAGUCCCCAGUGUUUUAUCACAGUUCUGGGGCUAAAACUUAAAGUCAGUGGUGAGAACCUACAAGCGGGGCCAGAUUGUGAUUCAAGGAAUGUAUAUAAAGUUUAGGAAACUUUCUGCAUUUAAUAAGGAUGUGAGGUGGGGGAGGUUCAGUGGUACAGUGC